UACGUAGGUGGCAAGCGUUGUCCGGAAUCACUGGGCGUAAAGCGCGCGCAGGCGGCGAUCUACGUCUGGGGUGAAAGCCCGGAGCUCAACUCCGGGACUGCCUUGGAUACGGGAUCGCUUGAGGAUUGGAGAGGCAAGGGGAAUUCCACGUGUAGCGGUGAAAUGCGUAGAUAUGUGGAGGAACACCUGUGGCGAAGGCGCCUUGCUGGCCAAUUUCUGACGCUGAGGCGCGAAAGCGUGGGGAGCGAACGGG
rnacentral:rRNA from 1 species